rnacentral:rRNA from 1 species
UGGGGAAUAUUGCACAAUGGAGGGAACUCUGAUGCAGCGACGCCGCGUGAACGAAGAAGGCUUUCGAGUCGUAAAGUUCUUUUAUAUGGGAAGAUAAUGACGGUACCAUAAGAAAAAGCCCCGGCUAACUACGUGCCAGCAGCCGCGGUAAUACGUAGGGGGCUAGCGUUGUCCGGAAUCACUGGGCGUAAAGGGUUCGCAGGCGGAAAUGCAAGUCAGGUGUAAAAGGCAGUAGCUUAACUACUGUAAGCAUUUGAAACUGCAUAUCUUGAGAAGAGUAGAGGUAAGUGGAAUGUUUAGUGUAGCGGUGAAAUGCGUAGAUAUUAAAAAGAAUACCGGUGGCGAAGGCGGCUUACUGGGCUCAUUCUGACGCUGAGGAACGAAAGCGUGGGUAGCAAACAGG